rnacentral:tRNA from 1 species
GAUUAACAGCGUGGUUGAGCGAUUUUAGUACGGCCUUCUAAGCCGUGGGUCGGGGGUUCGAAUCCCUCCUGGAUCACCA